CUUUGGAGUCUUGUGGCGUUUUGUGCUGUUGUGCUGGGAUGUUUGCCGUAAUGGAAUCAGCUGAGUGCAGAGCAUCAGGACCUCUCAAGGCUUCCCGUCACAGCACACGGAGCGUGAGCGUCCAGCCCCGCUCCCACAGUUGGGGAGCCGCUACGGAAAGCUGGUGCUGGGCAUCCCCUACACACGGAGGCACCCGGAGCGGUGCCACCAGUAUGCUGAGCAAGCCUGUGUAGGGGAUGGCCAGCGGCAGCUUCUCCAGACAGAUUUCAGCCGUCCGUGCCUCAGUUUCCCUACCUGUAAACCAGGAAGAACAGCAAUUUUCCCCUGCUUCCCUGCGCUUCCCAGUUUGCCGGUUUUAUUUAUCCUCCUCUCUGUUCCUCUGGAAGGCAGCUCCCACCCGUAAGCACCGAAGAGUCCUCCUCGGCCUCAGGUCUGAGUCAGCUCCACAGGCAUAGGCCAUUGUGUGCCGCAGGGAACAGAGCGUGUGGGCGACACCGGUCGUGCACGGGCAGUAAGUAAAAGGCUCAAAGGAAAAGAGGGGGAAACAGAAAAGUCUAAAGCCAUUUUCUAGGGUUCCAGCCCCUUCCCCAAAGUGGUUGCUUCUUUUUGGCACUCCCCACUGUUUCAAAGAGCUUUGAUGCUGCUGGAUUGUAUGGGCCAAUAGGCUCAGAGCCCCGUAGUCAUGCUUUUGCUGGGCUGAUGUCAAUUCUCGUUUAUUUUCCCUCAGCCUCAUUGCCACUCUUGUCUGUGUGCUCUCAUCCAGAGCAAGACCAGGGGACAUCCCAGGAAGACUGCUGGGAUGCCUUCCAUCUUCUCCCUGCGUACCAGGAACUCGAACAUCUGACGAGCAGCGUGCAGCCGUGUGGACACUGUGUGUGCCAGAACAGACCUUUUCAAGAGCUCCAGAAGACUUUUUUAGCCUCUUCCUUUCAUCUGCAAGACCAAAAAGGAAAGAGAGGUUUCUGUGACUGGGAAGCAGGAGAGUGGAGCAGAGUCAAGCAAAUCUCCAUCCUGCAAUGUGCAGAGAAGAGGCCAGAGUACCGGGACACCCCAGUGACUGCAGAAGGGGAAGAAUGCUGCAAAACUCUUGACUCCAUGUAG
rnacentral:lncRNA from 1 species